rnacentral:rRNA from 1 species
UACAGAGGUGGCAAGCGUUGUUCGGAAUUACUGGGCGUAAAGGGCGCGUAGGCGGCCAUCUAAGUCAGACGUGAAAUCCCCCGGCUUAACCUGGGAACUGCGUCUGAUACUGGAAGGCUUGAGUAUGGGAGAGGGAUGAAGAAUUCCAGGUGUAGCGGUGAAAUGCGUAGAUAUCUGGAGGAAUACCGGUGGCGAAGGCGGCAUCCUGGACCAUUACUGACGCUGAGGCGCGAAAGCUAGGGGAGCAAACGGG